rnacentral:snRNA from 1 species
UGUUUACAAAUGUAAUAUGAAGC